rnacentral:rRNA from 1 species
AGUCGAGCGAAUCGACGGGAGCUUGCUCCCUGAGAUUAGCGGCGGACGGGUGAGUAACACGUGGGCAACCUGCCUAUAAGACUGGGAUAACUUCGGGAAACCGGAGCUAAUACCGGAUACGUUCUUUUCUCGCAUGAGAGAAGAUGGAAAGACGGUUUACGCUGUCACUUAUAGAUGGGCCCGCGGCGCAUUAGCUAGUUGGUGAGGUAAUGGCUCACCAAGGCGACGAUGCGUAGCCGACCUGAGAGGGUGAUCGGCCACACUGGGACUGAGACACGGCCCAGACUCCUACGGGAGGCAGCAGUAGGGAAUCUUCCGCAAUGGACGAAAGUCUGACGGAGCAACGCCGCGUGAACGAAGAAGGCCUUCGGGUCGUAAAGUUCUGUUGUUAGGGAAGAACAAGUACCAGAGUAACUGCUGGUACCUUGACGGUACCUAACCAGAAAGCCACGGCUAACUACGUGCCAGCAGCCGCGGUAAUACGUAGGUGGCAAGCGUUGUCCGGAAUUAUUGGGCGUAAAGCGCGCGCAGGUGGUUCCCUUAGUCUGAUGUGAAAGCCCACGGCUCAACCGUGGAGGGUCAUUGGAAACUGGGGAACUUGAGUGC